rnacentral:tRNA from 1 species
GGGCCCUUAGCUCAACGGUUAGAGCAGCGGACUCAUAAUCCGUUGGUUAUAGGUUCGAAUCCUAUAGGGCCCACCA